GGAGGAAAGCAGGGGAUCGCAAGACCUUGCGCUAAAGGAGCGGCCGAUGUCUGAUUAGUUAGUUGGUGGGGUAAAGGCCUACCAAGGCAACGAUCAGUAGCUGGUCUGAGAGGACGAUCAGCCACACUGGGACUGAGACACGGCCCAGACUCCUACGGGAGGCAGCAGUGGGGAAUUUUGGACAAUGGGCGAAAGCCUGAUCCAGCCAUGCCGCGUGAAUGAAGAAGGCCUUCGGGUUGUAAAGUUCUUUUAGUUGGAAAGAAAAAAUUAUGAUGAAUAAUCAUAAUUCAUGACGGUACCGACAGAAAAAGCACCGGCUAACUACGUGCCAGCAGCCGCGGUAAUACGUAGGGUGCAAGCGUUAAUCGGAAUUACUGGGCGUAAAAAGGGG
rnacentral:rRNA from 1 species